rnacentral:lncRNA from 1 species
CAAAACCUAGGGCACGAAAUUGAAUUUCGAACCAAAACAACACUUCCUUCUUGCAAUAAUUCUAGAGAGGCUUGGUGGUGCAAUCCGGCAUAUUGCAACCCGGCAAUAAUUUCUGGACAGGCUUGGUGGUGCAAUUCCGGCGACGCAUGAGAGGUGAAGCAAAACCUAAGGCACGACAUUAAUUUUAUGCACCCUUAACACGAUGCUUCCUUCUUGCACUGCUGGCAUUUUCUGGACAGGCUUGGUGGUGCAAUCCGGCGACAAACCUGUAGCUCAGGCAGGAGUUGUGUAAGAACUCCCCGUUCUCGAAGAUUUGAUGCCAACGAAUGGUUCAUUCAUGUGGUUGUGAAGACCAAAAAUCCACAAUUCCAAAAAAAGACCUGAAGCACGUUCCUCUUUUUGUUAAAGAUCCUGCCUGAGCCCCGACAUUGCAA